rnacentral:rRNA from 1 species
AACGAACGCUGGCGGCGUGUUUAAGACAUGCAAGUCGCACGGGAUAAGACAUGUAGUAAUACUUGUUUUAUUUAGUGGCGCACGGGUGAGUAACACGUGAAUUACAUGCCCUAUAGUGGGGAAUAGCCCAGGGAAACUUGGAUUAAUACCCCAUGGUAUCGAAAGAUUAAAGGUGGCCGCAAGGCUGUCGCUAUAGGAUUGGUUCGCGCCCUAUCAGCUUGUUGGUGAGGUAACGGCUCACCAAGGCAAUGACGGGUACCUGGUCUGAGAGGACGAGCAGGCACACUGGAACUGAGACACGGUCCAGACACCUACGGGUGGCAGCAGUCGAGAAUAAUUCACAAUGGGGGCAACCCUGAUGGUGCAACGCCGCGUGGAGGAUGACGGUCUUCGGAUUGUAAACUCCUGUCAUCUGGGAGAAAGACCUGACGGUAAAUGGCCGGCAGGGUUGAUAGUACCAGAAGAGGAAGGGACGGCUAACUUCGUGCCAGCCGCCGCGGUAA